GUGAUUGUAGCUCAAUUGGUAGAGCCCUGGAUUGUGAUUCCAGUUGUCGUGGGUUCAAAUCCCACCAAUCACCCA
rnacentral:tRNA from 1 species